CAAUAGCGCAUAUUAAAGUUGUUGCAGUUAAAAAGCCCGUAGUUGGAUUUCUGGUCGGAAGCUCCUGUCCUCUGAUGAGCGUACAGGUGCGUCCUACCAUCCUUCUGUUAACCUUUAAGGCUUUCGCGGCUUUCUAGGGGCUCAGAUAUUUUACCUUGAGAAAAUUAGAGUGUUUCAGGCAGGCUAGGCCGGAAUACAUUAGCAUGGAAUAAUGGAAUAGGACUACGGUCUCUUUGUUGGUUUGAGGGACUGCAGUAAUGAUUAAUAGGGAUAGUUGGGGGCAUUAGUAUUUAAUAGUCAGAGGUGGAAUUCUCGGAUUUGUUAAAGACUAACUUAUGCGAAAGCAUUUGCCAAGGAUGUUUUCAUUA
rnacentral:rRNA from 1 species